UUUUGAAAAAUAUAUGUGAAUUUAGAAAAGAUUUUUGACAUUUUUAUGUGCGCUUUAAGAAGGACUAUCGAUCAUUUUUCAACCGACUAUAUUUUAAAUGAGUUUUUGGCUUUUCUUGCUCGCUGGAUACUUCGCUUUAACGAAAUUAAAGGGUGUAAAAAAUAGCAUGAAAUGAAGACACACAGUUUCUACUUCGUAGCUGCAUAAACCCUUAAGACGUCCGAGUUGCAUUUGAAGGCCAAUUUCUCAACAGUGACGAAUCCUGGAGAGCACGGACUAAUAGUACUUCAAUGUUGUGCUGACUACUUGGCAAGUAAUUCCCACCAUAUUUCGCAUGUAUCUUUUUUUAUUUAAUAAACACAUUGCGUAAGCAAUCGAAGCAAAUAAAUACAUUAACUCAAAUAUUCAAAAGCAGUUGAGGUACCAGUCGGCUUUGGACACAUACGUACAUAGCAUAUAAUAGUUUGAAGUAGGCCUUUUUGAAAGUUUCGUUUAUUAUUAUUUUCAAACGUAAGGUCAAUUGUAUUUCGCACUAUAUGCAUUUGUCCAAAUAGCUUUUACCGUUACCGUAGCCGAACGCAUUAGGGUCAAUCGCGUUGCUUCUACAAAUGGCCUUCAAUGGCUAAGCUUCUAAAGUCGUUGUAAAUUGGCCAAAAAUCAGCGUAAAUAUUUUAUUAAAUAUUGCCAUUAUUUUGAAUAUAUUCGCAUGGCAAACCAGUAUUUUAUGUUAAAUUCGAAAGUGAAUUACUAUUUGCUUCUAGAUUGUUUUUGUGUAGCGAAAAAUUCGAGUACUUGUAGCCGUGCUGUCGUCUACGAACUGCUCAAGGACAUGGGACAAGAUGAUAGACAAGCGGUCGAUUGUAGGCUGGUCCAGCCGGUUGGUGGAAAAUGAAAAAGAGUUAGGCUGAAUUAUAGAAACUCCUAGACAUUUGUAUGUAUGUAAUUACACUUGUGGAAAUGUAUGUAUGUAUGUACUCGUAUGUGCAUACAUAGUAUGUUUGCACUGUAGAUUAUCAAAUCUUUUACGGCUGAAAAUGCUGUUAGUCCACUUUGAAAUGGAGCAAAUUAAAUCGCUGGAAAAAUUAA